UGGGAAGCAGCUCCCAGGAUCCACUGAGCAGUUUCAGGUAUUAUGCUACGAGCAACAGAAAUGGAGUAGGACAUGAGAAGAGAUCAGGGGGAUAAAGGAAGACGUCCAGAGCAUUAGAAAGCCCCCCGUGGCUGGGUCCUGCCAACCUCUGCCUCUCUUCUCCUCAUGCCUACUCCCUCCCCCUGCAUGUUCCAGUGACAGAAAACUGCUUCUCAUUUUCCCUGCACAUACCACCCUGCUCCUGGCCUCCUGCCUUGGCUCACACAGUCUUCAAGGCCUGUAAUGCCCUUCCUCCCUCCCCUACCCACUUCUCUCCAUUUCAACUAAGAGCUUGUCCUUAUUUUACCCUUUUGCACUUAUACCUUAGGCAUCUCCUUCUCUAGAAAGUCUUUCUAGAUGUCCAGAUGGCUGCAGGGACUUGCCUGCAUGCACAUGUAUAUAUAUGCAUUCAUGUGCACACACACACUCCCAUGCCACCCACCUAUGCCUCCUCAUUGCACUUGCCUUAUUGCAUUGUAAUUGUUGCUUUAUGAAUCCCCCCACUAGACUGUAAGCUCUCUGAGUACAAGCAAAGCUUGUGCCUCAUCACUUGGAGCAGACUGGAUCAUUGCUCUCAAUUUUUCACUCCCUUCCUGACUUAUCAUCAUUAAUUAUCCAGCUAUGCCAUAUCAUGGCUUCACAGUGGGCAGAAUACACAUCUCUGCCUCAGUGACUUUAGAUUUGGGUAUGGGAUUUGCUUUGGCCAAUGAUAUAAGCAGAAGUCUUCAUUGUGCCAGUGUGGUUUGGCCCAUCUCCUGUAUUCAUACUCCUGUGAUCUCUCUUGAGAAGAACAUAUCCCAGGGUAGCCACUGGGCCAAGUAGAGUGUGGAGAUAUGAGUAGACUUGAACUCAACCUAAAGC
rnacentral:lncRNA from 1 species